rnacentral:lncRNA from 1 species
AUCAUAGAAUGGAUUAUAAGUUGAAUUAAGAUGGAAGUAGUAAGCCUUGGUAUUUCGUAGUUUGAUAAUUGAUUUCAGAUAGCUAGAGUACAGUCAAUUGUGACACUAACAGAUCCAAUUCAUAUAAUCAGUCUUUUCCCGUGUUCGAACCGACCUCUAUUAGUUCAAUUGCUUUAGUCUACUAAAGCUUGAAUGCAACGAGAACAACAUUUUGGCAUCACUGUCGGGGAAAUGAUAACAACA